rnacentral:lncRNA from 1 species
CCUCCGUCACAUAUCAUAAAUCAGCACCAAGACUAAAUGGGAUAACUUAUGCUAAAGGUUUACUGGCAUAACUGAGGUUCGAUGCUGUGUCAGCCAAGGCCUCCGUCACAUAUCAUAAAUCAGCACCAAGACUAAAUGGAUAACUUAUGCUAAAGGUUUACUGGCAUAACUUAGGUCCGAUGCUGUGUCAGCCAAGGCCUCUGCCACAUAUCAUAAAUCAGCAAGAAGACUAAAUGGGAAAACUAAUGAGACCAGGGUUUUGCCUUGUAGAGCACUGCCCCGUGCACGUCAAUAAUAUCCAACCAUCACUAUAAAGCCAGUAAGCAACCCCAAAAACAAACACCACCUUUCGCAAUGGCUGCAAGCCUGCAGCAGUAUAGUUGCAUCCAUCAGCCAAAAUGGACUACGUAAAAAGUCAAUAUGACAAUAUCACAUGUUAUAACUAAAAUGGGGAACUUGAGCUUAACUCAAUUGGUUGCAGUCCUUGGAUUCCAAGGGAGAGGCUUUCGAGCUUAUGGAGAAGCAUCGAAUACCCGCUAGUAGUAACCUCACAUACUAACCCACACUAAAUGCUUCCUUUGGGAAAAAAAAAACUAAAAUGUAGAAUUUUGUUAAAGUCUUUGAUAAUAGUUCUUGAUAAUACUUUGUUUGGUUUAAUUUUCAAAAUAAUUUUUUAACUGCUUUGAGUUUUGAUUUUUCCAUCUAUAGUGAACAUUUUUCAUCGUUUGAUUAAAAUUUUAUAUUUUUUGAAUUCCUCUUGAUGAGAUAAAUUUGAAAGGGUAAAAGUUUU